rnacentral:rRNA from 1 species
UACGUAGGGGCUAGCGUUAUCCGGAAUUACUGGGCGUAAAGCGUGCGUAGGCGGUCUUUCAAGCCAGAAGUGAAAGGCUACGGCUCAACCGUAGUAAGCUUUUGGAACUGUAAGACUUGAGUGCAGGAGAGGAGAGUGGAAUUCCUAGUGUAGCGGUGAAAUGCGUAGAUAUUAGGAGGAACACCAGUAGCGAAGGCGGCUCUCUGGACAGUAACUGACGCUGAGGCACGAAAGCGUGGGGAGCAAACAGGAUUAGAUACCCUGGUAGU